GUGCCAGCAGCCGCGGUAAUACGAGGGGGGCAAGCGUUGUUCGGAUUUAUUGGGCGUAAAGGGUGCGUAGGCGGUUUGGCAAGUCUGAUGUGAAAUCUAUGGGCUCAACCCAUAGUCUGCAUCAGAAACUGCCGGGCUUGAGUAUGGGAGAGGUGAGUGGAAUUUCCGGUGUAGCGGUGAAAUGCGUAGAUAUCGGAAGGAACACCUGUGGCGAAAGCGGCUCACUGGACCAUUACUGACGCUGAUGUACGAAAGCUAGGGGAGCAAACAGGAUUAGAUACCCUGGUAGUCC
rnacentral:rRNA from 1 species